UACGAAGGGGGCUAGCGUUGCUCGGAAUCACUGGGCGUAAAGCGCACGUAGGCGGAUCUUUAAGUCAGGGGUGAAAUCCUGGAGCUCAACUCCAGAACUGCCUUUGAUACUGGGGGAUCUCGAGUCCGGAAGAGGUGAGUGGAACUCCGAGUGUAGAGGUGAAAUUCGUAGAUAUUCGCAAGAACACCAGUGGCGAAGGCGGCUCACUGGCCCGAUACUGACGCUGAGGUGCGAAAGCGUGGGGAGCAAACAGGG
rnacentral:rRNA from 1 species